UACGUAGGCAGCAAGCGUUGUUCGGAAUUACUGGGCGUAAAGCGAGUGUAGGCGGUCGGCCAAGUCUGUUGUGAAAUCUCCCGGCUCAACUGGGAGGGUGCGACGGAAACUGGUCGGCUAGAGUGCGGGAGAGGAGAGUGGAAUUCCCGGUGUAGCGGUGAAAUGCGUAGAGAUCGGGAGGAAUACCGGUGGCGAAGGCGGGACUCUGGGCCUACCCUGACGCUGAGGCGCGAAGGCGUGGGGAGCAAACGGGG
rnacentral:rRNA from 1 species